rnacentral:pre_miRNA from 9 species
AACCGCACACGAUAAUAGUAUUAUCCCGUGCGGUUGUCCUAAGCGGACCGCACGGGAUAAUCGAUUAUCCCGUGCGGCC